UUGGCGCGUGAACUGAAGCCCGGAGCGCGCGAGAGCUCAUUGUUGCGUUCGCUUGAGCCACGACAACUAGUGUUUGUUUAAUCGUUUGAUUGAUCCUUUGUCGAUCUCAAGCAACGUGAAUCAUAUCAGUUUGUUGGAUACGCCAUUAGAAAUGAGCUACGGUAGGCCUCCGCCCGACGUUGAGGGCAUGACUUCGUUAAAGGUGGAUAAUUUAACGUAUCGCACGUCGCCGGAGACGCUGCGGCGAGUCUUUGAAAAGUACGGCCGAGUCGGGGACGUUUAUAUUCCGCGAGACCGAUACACAAAAGAGAGCAGAGGCUUCGCCUUCGUGCGCUUUCACGACAAGAGGGAUGCCGAAGAUGCGAUGGACGCAAUGGAUGGAGCGGUUCUGGAAGGACGAGAGCUCCGGGUUCAGAUGGCCCGCUACGACAGGCCGCCGGACUCGUACUACGGCGGACGCCGGGGCGGGGGACCCGGUAGAAGACAUGGACACGGACACGGACACGGCCGCCGCAGCCGAAGUCCGAGACGUCGGAGACGCAGCCGGUCCAGAAGCAGGAGCCGCUCUCGUUCACGGAGCCGCUCCCGUUACAGCAGAUCGAGGUCACGCUCCUACUCUCGCUCCAAGUCUCACUCCAAGUCAAACACGCCCCGUAAGAGGAAGUCUAAGUCGCCCUCCAGGUCUAGGUCCCGUUCAAGAUCCAAGUCCAGGUCUCGUUCCAGAAGCCGCACGCCUGCUUCAAACAGAGAGUCGAAGUCCAGGUCAAGGUCUAAAAGCCAUCCGAAGUCUCCAGGAGAGGAAAGACCCACAUCACCCUAAACUUUUCAGAAGAGCGUGCCUAAAAAUGAAAAACAUUCAGGUGGAAACAUAGCUGAUGGUGGCGGAGGACGAAUCCCAGCUGCCUCUGCGUCUGAGACCGCCAACCCGCACAUCUUAUCACGUGGCGUGUUGAGUGCGUUGCCAUUGAGACAUAGCACGUGUGGAGGCUUCACGCCAUCCACCGCAGCAUCCACGCUCAACUCACCACGCGCCGCAUCGUGAACGAACCACAUGGCGACCACGAGGAGGUUACCCCAUGUGACUCUAUCCUCCCUAGCAACCGGGCCAAUUUGGUUGCUUAGGAGACCCUGCCGGAGUCACUCAGCACGCCCUGGGAUUCGAACUAGUGAACUCCAGGGGUGGUAGCCAGCAUCUUUACCACUGAGCUUUUUUUUGUACAUUGUACAUGUACAUUGCAGUGAAGCCAUUUAAACUGUAAAAAACUAGUCAAUAAUACUUUUAUAUCUCCUUAACAUCAUUUUGCAAUUUCUGAUUAAAAUGCACAUUCUGAAUCUGUACCAUACGGCAACGUUUUGCAUAACUACGAUAUAGACCAGGGGUCGGCAACCUUUUUGACGUGGAGUGCCAUUUUAUUAUCUUUUGAUCAAUGGCUGUGCACCCCCCCCCCCCCCCCCCCACCCAAUGCACCUGCAUUCCAGUCUACAUCUUGAUGUAAUCCUUCCUCAUGAUCACGCAGCGUGUUUUCAUCUGCUGAAUGGGAGACUAAACACUAUUAAAGUGUGAUGAGACUCGCGCUGCGCAUGCAAGCCAUUUGCGCAUCACAAGCCGAUCAACUAUUCAGCCCUUUUCGUUGAAUCGCAUCUGCAAAAUCUUUAUUUAAACCAGGUUUAAUUUAUAAUUUGAAUAAUGUAUAUUUCACCAUGUGUGUUUUUGAAUCCCACGAUGUGGGUUUAUGUUUUCUCUUUUAAUCGUUUAAUGUAAUUUUGAGUGUGACUAUGGUUUAAGGAGGGUGUACCUGUAUGCUGGGUUGGAAAUCUCAAGGAUUAAUAGUGGUUUACAUCACGUGUUGUUCUGAAAGCAAAAAGAAACAAAUGAAACACGGAAUGUAGGCUGUCAUCCGCGCAGACUGACCGGAGCAAAGUGGCCGCAUUUACUCGUGCGAUUAACCAAAAGUGAAGCGCUGCCGGCUCGUGAUAUGCAAAUGGUUUGAACGAGUCUGUUGGUUAUACUGCAGUCACGUCACAUUUUAUCUUUUUGUUUAGCCUCCCCUUCAGCUCAUGAAAACACACUGCGUGAUCAUGAGGAUUACAUCAAGAUGUAGAUUGGAAUGCAGGUGCGGAAAUUAAAUAAAAUAUUCUGCUCCUCUCUCACUGUUGCUGGUAACCAGUGAUUACCCCUCCGCGUGCCAGUGCUGGCACACGUGCCAUAGGUUGCCGUCCCCUGCUAUAGACAAUACUCAAAUUUGUACCAUGACACUUUUUUUUUUUUUUUAAAUACUGGUUUUUCAUUUUAACCAGUAUAUUGCACAUACCGAACUACUGCAACUACAGCACUCAAGGUGUGAGAUACUGAAAGUGCAGUGAGAUGUGGCAUGAUGGCCAAAAAUGUCCAAACUGGAAAAAAAAUUUAAGUGUAAUUAAAAUGUGUGUUGUUCAACUUUUUGAAAGAUUGUUUUACAAUAGUUGUCAGCAUCUCUCUGGCAAAGAACCUACUUCAUCUGUGCAUUCUCUACAGGUCGGGUAUUUUGUUGUCCGGGAAAAUACAUUGUGUGUGAAUAAAUUUGUUUUCGUUUUUUUCCCCUCCUUCACAACAUAUAUAUAUCCAAUAUCCAAUUGCAUCGGCAACCCCCGGGCUGAGGGAUCAGUGAAUAUUCUUGCUUUAGUGAUUUUGCAUUGAAAAUUAAAUUAAUUUAUUUAAAAAAUGAAAAACUUAAAUACAUUUCUAAAUUCAAAUUGCACUCCAAAUGAAACAAAAAGCAAUUAAAAUAAUGAAAUGAUAAAAUAUAUAUAAGUAACCACCUUUUCAUUUACCGUCAGGCAAGUAUCCGUCUAAACGUGUAGGCCGAAAAUUACUUGCACAAAUGAAGACAUAAAAACAAUUAUAAAUGUAAAAAUAAUAGUUAAAAUUAUGAUAAUCACUGAAAUAUAAAUCAUGGUUCGAGGUGAGCAUGUUUUUGUAUUAUGUUUUAAUCACAGAUGUAUAGUCUGCAGAGUUAUCACAAUGAACAGCUCUGUGGAAAUAAAGCGAAUUGAACUCAAAGCACCUCUGAGCUGAGAUGUCUGAGGUCAUUUGCAACAUUCAAAGAUGAUACUGUUCUUGCAAAAAAAAAAAAAAAAUUCUUAAGACAGAAACAAACAAAGAGUGAGAACCUUUCACACGCACGUGUUCCACGAGACUGCAUGCCUCCGUACAAACAGCAUGUCAUACAUGCGCAUAGACGGCUUUUCUGUCAUCUGUUUUUAAUAAAGUGUGUUGCUUCAAGCGCAUGUCUACGGGCAAAUUAUUUGUAAUAUUGAUUUGAUAAUAAUAAUAGCCUAAUAAUUAUAAUUUAAUACAUUAAUGGGACGCGAGCCAAAUAGGCUAUCUUGACAUGGUCAAAGGCAUCAGCUAUUGGUGAUCACUCUGACCAUCGUCGAUCCCCGAGAUCAUCGUCUGUCGGCACAACCCUAAUGUGCAUUUCUCUCUAUAAAUGAACAAAAUGUUCAGACAGUCUUCGUGCUGGUUUUUCCAACACAUUCAGAAUCAUUACCACUUUUGCCGGUGUCGCUGCAGCUGACUUCAUGCAUGCGCUUGUAAAAUUGAUAUUUUAAAGGCUUAUUAUUACGGUUUAGUAUUUCUCUGUAAUUUAGUGUUAACAAUGUUACUUACAACAUUCUCAGCCCUGGAACUCAAACCAUUUUCUGAUGCCCCCCCAAAAUAUAUAUAUAUAUAUAUAUGUAAGUAAUUCAAUUAAUAUCAUAAACGUGCGACAACUAAUGGCUUAAACUAACGACUACUAGUCGACUAGGAAAAUCUUCAGUAGGGGGCAGCCCUAUUAUUUUAAUCCUCAGAAACCGUGUGCUCUGUGUAAAUCCAUUUUCCCACCUUUCAUUUCCAUAUUUUUUCAUGUUUUCAUCCCAUGUUUGACUGCUGUUUUGUGUUCUCCCAGGUCUACCUUAUCAUUGGACGAUACCAAACGUGCGACCUUGGUUGGAGCAUGAAGAACCUUGGAUUGAAAAU